UACGGGGGGGGUAAGCGUUGUUCGGAAUUACUGGGCGUAAAGGGCUCGUAGGCGGCCAACUAAGUCAUACGUGAAAUCCCUCAGCUUAACUGGGGAACUGCGUGUGAUACUGGAUGGCUUGGAUUUGGGAGAGGGAUGCGGAAUUCCAGGUGUAGCGGUGAAAUGCGUAGAUAUCUGGAGGAACACCGGUGGCGAAGGCGACGUCCUGGACCGGUAUUGACGCUGAGGCGCGAAAGCCAGGGGAGCAAACGGG
rnacentral:rRNA from 1 species